ACUACUAAAAAAAUAAACUUUAAUAAUGAUUUUAUCAAAAUGGUCAUUAAAAUCGUUAAUUCAAAGAUGAUUUUAGAAAAUUGUAUUUGAAAGUCAAGUGUUUUGAUUUUGUUUACCCACUUAUACUCAUAAGGACGUUUCUCUUUCCUGUUUCUUUGUGCGUCUUUGCCUAGCCAAGACCAUCACAACUCUUCCCCACCAGUCAUCAGCACCGUUUCAGGGCUUUUUUCUUUUCCAUUUCAACGUCGACAACUAAGUUUUCAGCACCCAAAGCCCAUGCAUCUUGGAAAUCUAAGGUGUAGAGGAAUAAAUUGGCCACUGCUGGUGAAGCAGUUGAGUAUAGAAGCCUUAUACGUGCCGCUGAUGGGAAAAAGACUAAUUUCUACUUUGAUAUGUAUCUUGAGCUUGCUAUUUUCAAGUUUGCUUUUAAUUAGAACUUAUUGUUCAUGCUUUGUCUUUUACUAGUAUACAUAUAUUAGAGAUAGAGAUUAUCUCUUCUGAUAAGUUAGGAAUUAAGUUCCUAAUCUGUUUCAAUUCUGACAUGCAACUUUUCUAUUCUGUUUCUAAUGGUUAAGAGCACUUGAUUAGAAUAGGCUAAUUUCAGCAAAGUAGAAUAAGUGAAAAGGAGAGAAUUGAAGACAUGAUACUUGGGUUUAGUCA